rnacentral:rRNA from 1 species
CGCGUAGACGGUUUUGUAAGUCAGAUGUGAAAUCCCCGGGCUCAACCUGGGAACUGCAUUUGAGACUGCAUGGCUAGAGUAUCGAAGAGGGAAGUGGAAUUUCCGGUGUAGCGGUGAAAUGCGUAGAUAUCGGAAGGAACACCAGUGGCGAAAGCGACUUCCUGGUCGAAUACUGACGUUCAUGUGCGAAAGCGUGGGGAGCAAACAGGAUUAGAUACCCUGGUAGUCCACGCCAUAAACGAUGACAACUAGAUGUUGGGAGGGUCUGCCUCUCGGUGUCGCAGCUAACGCGUUAAGUUGUCCGCCUGGGGAGUACGGCCGCAAGGUUAAA